AUAAUGGGUCAGCGACUUAUAUUCUGUAGCAAGGUUAACCGAAUAGGGGAGCCGAAGGGAAACCGAGUCUUAACUGGGCGUUAAGUUGCAGGGUAUAGACCCGAAACCCGGUGAUCUAGCCAUGGGCAGGUUGAAGGUUGGGUAACACUAACUGGAGGACCGAACCGACUAAUGUUGAAAAAUUAGCGGAUGACUUGUGGCUGGGGGUGAAAGGCCAAUCAAACCGGGAGAUAGCUGGUUCUCCCCGAAAGCUAUUUAGGUAGCGCCUCGUGAAUUCAUCUCCGGGGGUAGAGCACUGUUUCGGCAAGGGGGUCAUCCCGACUUACCAACCCGAUGCAAACUGCGAAUACCGGAGAAUGUUAUCACGGGAGACACACGGCGGGUGCUAACGUCCGUCGUGAAGAGGGAAACAACCCAGACCGCCAGCUAAGGUCCCAAAGUCAUGGUUAAGUGGGAAACGAUGUGGGAAGGCCCAGACAGCCAGGAUGUUGGCUUAGAAGCAGCCAUCAUUUAAAGAAAGCGUAAUAGCUCACUGGUCGAGUCGGCCUGCGCGGAAGAUGUAACGGGGCUAAACCAUGCACCGAAGCUGCGGCAGCGACGCUGAUGCGUUGUUGGGUAGGGGAGCGUUCUGUAAGCCUGUGAAGGUGUG
rnacentral:rRNA from 1 species